GAACUGCGAUAAGUAAUGUGAAUUGCAGAAUUCAGUGAAUCAUCGAGUCUUUGAACGCACAUUGCGCCCCCUGGCACUCCGGGGGGCAUGCCUGUCCGAGCGUCAUUGCUGCCCUUCAAGCCCGGCUUGUGUGUUGGGUCGUCGUCCCCUCCGGGGGACGGGCCCGAAAGGCAGCGGCGGCACCGCGUCCGGUCCUCGAGCGUAUGGGGCUUUGUCACCCGCUCGAUAAGGACCGGCCGGGCGCCAGCCGGCGUCUCCAACCUUUUUUUCUCAGGUUGACCUCGGAUCAGGUAGGGAUACCCGCUGAACUUAAGC
rnacentral:misc_RNA from 1 species